rnacentral:tRNA from 1 species
GGUUCCAUGGUGUAGUGGUUAUCACAUCUGCUUCACACGCAGAAGGUCGCGAGUUCGAAACUCGCUGGAGCCU